rnacentral:rRNA from 1 species
UACGAAGGGGGCUAGCGUUGUUCGGAAUUACUGGGCGUAAAGCGCGUGUAGGCGGGCCGUUAAGUCGGGGGUGAAAGCCCAGAGCUCAACUCUGGAAUUGCCUUCGAUACUGGCGGCCUGGAGCAUGAUAGAGGCGAGUGGAAUUGCGAGUGUAGAGGUGAAAUUCGUAGAUAUUCGCAGGAACACCAGUGGCGAAGGAGACUCGCGGGAUCAUUGCUGACGAUGAGACGCGAAAGCGUGGGGAGCAAACAGG